UACGAAGGGGGCUAGCGCGGCUCGGAAUUACUGGUCGUAAAGGGCGCGUAUGCGGACCUGUCAGUCAGGCGUGAAAGCCCAGGGCUCAACCCUGGAACUGCGCUUGAUACUGCGGGUCUAGAGUGCCGGAGAGGAUGGUGGAAUUCCAAGUGUAGAGGUGAAAUUCGUAGAUAUUGGGAAGAACACCGGUGGCGAAGGCGGCCAUCUGGACGGCAACUGACGCUGAGGCGCGAAAGCGUGGGGAGCAAACAGG
rnacentral:rRNA from 1 species